rfam:Pelodiscus sinensis unplaced genomic scaffold scaffold49, whole genome shotgun sequence.
CCAAAGGCUCUUUUCAGAGCCACCCACGCUUUCAUAAAAAGGAGCU